rnacentral:rRNA from 1 species
AGCAGCCGCGGAAAUUCCAGCUCCAAUAGCGUAUAUUAAAGUUGUUGCAGUUAAAAAGCUCGUAGUUGAAUUUCGGGGUCAGUAGGUUGGUCGUGCCACGGGUAUGAACUGGUCUCACUGAUUCCUCCUUCCUGAUGAACCGUAAUGCCAUUAAUUUGGUGUUGCGGGGAAUUUGGACUGUUACUUUGAAAAAAUUAGAGUGUUUAAAGCAAGCUAACGCUUGAAUACAUUAGCAUGGAAUAAUGAAAUAGGACGUUCGAUCCUAUUUUGUUGGUUUCUAGGAUUGACGUAAUGAUUAAUAGGGAUAGUUGGGGGCAUUAGUAUUCAAUUGUCAGAGGUGAAAUUCUUGGAUUUAUUGAAGACUAACUACUGCGAAAGCAUUUGCCAAGGAUGUUUUCAUUAAUCAAGAACGA